UACGUAGGGGGCUAGCGUUGUCCGGAUUUCUUGGGCGUAAAGAGCGCGUAGGCGGCUAGGUAAGUCCGACGUGAAAUCUGGAGGCUCAACCUCCAGCGGUCGUUGGAAACUACUUGGCUAGAGUCCGGAAGAGGAGAGUGGAAUUCCUGGUGUAGCGGUGAAAUGCGCAGAUAUCAGGAAGAACACCGAUGGCGAAAGCAGCUCUCUGGGACGGUACUGACGCUGAGGCGCGAAAGCGUGGGGAGCGAACAGG
rnacentral:rRNA from 1 species